ensembl:misc_RNA Y_RNA Y RNA
GGCUGGUCUGAAUGCAGUGGAGUGUAUAAGUCAUUGAUAACAACUAGUUAUAGAUUUCUUUGUUUCUCCUCCACUCCCGCUUUUUUUUUUUUUGACUAGCCAAAA